GUGAGGCAGAUUGCACAGAGAGAGGGAGAGAGCUGCCAUCCUUUGAUUCACUCCCCACAUGCCCACAGCAACCAUUGUUAGGUCAGAGCCAAAUCCAAGAGCAGGAAGUCAACCCGUGUCUCCUGUAUGGGCGGCAGGAAGCCAAUCAUUUGAGCCUUUACUGCUGUCUCCCAGGGCUUGUGCCAGCAGGAACUUGGAGUCAGGAACCAGAGGCAAUGCAAAAUCCAGAGGCACGAAGUCCAGAGAAGAGAGGAUGCUACUGCCCAGUCCCCUUCUACUCCUGCCGUCCUCAUGAUCACAACCUGGCUGCUAUGCUUAGGCACCCUCGAUGUAUUCCAGGAAGGGAAGGAAGGAAGCUCCACCCAAUACACUCAUGCUUCCAGCUAACUGACCACAAGCAGAUACCUGGCAAACCAGCACAGAGCGAAGCUGCAAACUGCAUUCACCCAGUGGACCAGAGACAGAAUGGUUUGGAAGGAGGAACGGCAAAUGUUACCGGAAAGAACAAAGGUCAGGCCAGUUGCUGCUUGAAAACCAGUCCUCCAGAGCCAAGCGUUGAUGCAGGGAGGUCGGGCUCAUCUAGAAGUCAGCCGCUUGAAGGGGGCGCAGGCUUUCAGCACAAACACCUGCCCAGAUGCUCAAGCUCACAGGAUUUUUUUUAAGAGGGAGAAGGGAGUAGGGAGGUGUUUAUGGAGAAAACAGGCUUGGUUGGCUGUGGGCCAGUUCCUUCCAUCAGUUCUGAUAAUCAUGCUGAAAUUGGCCAGAUGGUGGUCCUUUCCACUCUGGGCUUGUGCUAUUCACAGCUGGUGCUCGUAUAUUCUUCCCACAGCCGAGGUCCUGCAGUUCUAGCCGACUUCCCUGAGGUCAGUCCCUGGACUUCUUAAGCAAGCCUUUAUCUUGGAAGCAGAAGUCUGGUAAGUCAAGAGGCAGCAGUUAGCUUUUGCUAAGUGGCAAAUGGAGUCACUUUAGUUCUGGCUGCCCAACUCGCAGGCAUUAAGAAUGAGGCAGCUCUAUGCAUGGCUAUGGGUCCACAACCAACAUAUAUGGUCAGGCAGCAAGCAACCAACCAAGCAGGUGCAGAGCAGAAUGUAUGGCAUGCUGUCACGUGCACACGAUGCUAAGUGUAUGUGCACAUCUGCAUCCUUGCAAAUGCACAGAAUCACGCUAGAAGGAAGUACACAUUACAGUAACCUUGUUUGCCUCCAGGAAGGAGCCCUGGCAGACUAGACACAGAGGAGGGAGGGAGAUUCGCUUUUUGCGUUUUGCUCUUCUGUGAUUUUGAAUGUUCAAGCACAUGUGUGCAUUAGCUAUGCAAAUUCUAGUAAUUUUUGAAAGAUAGGAAGAAUCCUCCAAGAGUAACAGAGUUUUCCUCUGGACCAUUAGUAUGAUUUUCUUGUUCUGAAUGAGGAGGUUCAGGACACGCUACACCCAAAAUAUGGCCCCUUGGCAUUUGAGAAAACUGAAGGGACGGGGAGGCCACUCUCACUUCCCCACUCUCCUCCCCUGCAGCGGAUCCGAAACCCAGGACGGUCACUCUCUGCUCUGCUUCCAUCCUCCCCGCCUGCAGCAGGACGUGAGACCCUCGUGGGAGAGGGGCCUGCCUGUCCUGGGGAAGAAGCAUGAGUCAGGGUCACAGAGAAGAGUCCAGACACGUGGGCUUCACUCAGCUCCCCCCACUUUCUAGCCUUUAGAUCAUCCUUAUGUGUCCAGUCACACUGCUCCAUGACUAACCACUUCCCACUUAAAUCCAGCAUAAAAAAUGCACCAACCCAUCUGAUCUGGGGAGGAGCUUCACCUCUGAAGUCUCUCAUGUCACAUACAAUUUUUUUUUUGACAGAUAGAGUUAGACAGUGAGAGAGAGACAGAGAGAAAGGUCCUCCUUCCGUUGGUUCACCUCCCGAAUGGCCACUAUGGCCAGCGCUGUGCCGAUCCAACACCAGGAGCCAGGUGCUUCUUCCUGGUCUCCUAUGCGGGUGCAGGCACCCAAGCACUUGGGCCAUCCUCCACUGCCCUCCCGGGCCACAGCAGAGAGCUGGACUGGAAGAGGAGCAACCGGGACUAGAACCUGGUGCCCAUAUGGGAUGCUGGCACCUCAGGCAGAGGAUUAACCAAGUGAGCCACAGUGCCGGCCCCGUCACAUACAAUUUAAAGAAAUGUGUUUGCUUUUCUCUUGCUAAUCUGUGCUUUGUUAUAGGGGUCUCUGCCAUGAACCUGAGGAUUAAUAGAAACAAGAAGAUUUUUCUUUCCUCCAUGACUAAGAGUCAAAAACAUCCAACUGGAUGCUUUUUAAAUAACUUCAAGAGUCCUGAACCUGUCCGAUGGGAAAAUAUGGAAAAAAAUGCAGCAUUCUUUGGUCAACUCAGGCAAUCAAGUUAAGAGGCUGCAAAAAAUCAUAAAGGCAUGACAAAGAGGCCGGGGUCUGAGGGGUCUUCAGAACCAGGCUGAAGUACCACAUGAAAACAUCCAAGAGAGCCCAAGAAAUGCACACUGCUUUCAAAGAAAUGGAAGAUCAGCCAAUCAGUGAAGGGAUUUGUCCUGGCGCAGGCUGGAGGCUGGAGGUCGGCAUCAGAAGAAUUAAGCGAUUCUGGUGGUUCACAGUCCCAGUGAGAGCUCAGGGCAUCAGCCAGGGGCUUCACAUCCUGUCUCUUGGCCAAAAAUCUCUGAAAUGUCUAACCUCCCCGUCCUGGGUUGAAAGCCUGAAUUUGAUAAAGACAACUGUCCCCUUCUUAAGUAAGAAAGGUUCACUUGCCAGCGCCACGGCUCACUUGGCUAAUCCUCCGCCUGAGGCACCGGCAGCCCGGGUUCUAGUCCCGGUUGGGGCGCCGGGUUCUAGUCCCCCGGUGGCUCCUCUUCCUGUCCAGCUCUCUGCUGUGGCCCGGGAGGGCAGUGGAAGAUGGCCCAAGUGCUUGGGUGCCGGCACCCGCAUGGGAGACCAGGAGGAAGCACCUGGCUCCUGGCUUCGGAUCGGCACAGCGUGCCAGCCAUAGUGGUCACUUAGGGGGUAAACCAACAGAGAAGGAAGACAGACCUUUCUCUCUGUCUCUCUCUCUCACUGUCUAACUCUCCCUGUCAAAAAAAAAAUUAAUACUGAGAUAAUAAAGGACACCAGGCCUCUUUCUUUAUGUAAAUACAGAAAUAAUCUAAACACA